GCCAUUGGUGGCGCGGCCGCGCGCGUGGGGCGGCUCGCCUGGUGUCGGCGCCUCCCCGCAUCCCGCGCCGCUGUCGGCGGAGCCCGGCGGCCGGGCAGCGGGGCCCGGUCCCGGCAGCUGGGGCAUGGAGAGCCUGCUGGAAAACCCGGUGCGCGCCGUGCUCUACCUGAAGGAGCUCACCGCCAUCGUGCAGAACCAGCAGAGCCUCAUCCACACCCAGCGCCAGCGCAUCGACGAGCUGGAGCGGCGGCUGGACGAGCUCAGCACCGAGAACCGCAACCUCCGCGGGCAACAGCCGCACCACGCCGAGUCGCCGGCGGCCCCCGCCGAGCCGUCCCAGGGCUCCCCGGCAGAGCAGCCCCCGCCGCCGCCGGGCCAGCCUGACCCGCUCCAGCACCACCAACAGCUCCCGGCGCAGCAGCCGCCGCCGGCGGGCAAGCAGGCACCCGCGGGCCCCGGCGGCAGCGGGCGGGCUGCCGGGCACCAGCACCCCGCUGCCCAGCCCCACCAGCACCCCGCAGAGAAGGACGGCAGGGAGAAGGGCUGCUGCGCCGCUCUGCUCCAGCACAAGCCCCCCCAGGCCAUCGGCAAAGGCGUCCUGAGCCGGAGACCGGAGAAUGAAACUGUUUUACACCAGUUCUGCUGCCCAGCAGCUGAUGCAGAGCAGAAGCCUUCAUCUCCAGACUCCUCACCAAGUGACGAUCCCAGCGGUUCCACAAGCAAGAAAGCCGGGUGUGAAACGGAGGAUCCGAAGGAGGCCGGCAGACAGAGUGGCCAGGAAGGCAGGUCCGACACCCAGACGCUAAAAGCCCAGCAUGCGGAGCUCCAAGAAGAGCAGGCAGCGGGGUGUUCCCCUCUGGUGCAGAAGGCGAGCCUCCACCACACGGGCUCCCCAGUGAGAGUGCAGCGCAGCAAAGGGACGGCCUCGUGUUCCCAUGCAGCUGCCUCCGAUUAUGAGCUCUCCCUUGACCUAAAGAAUAAACAGAUCGAAAUGCUAGAACACAAGUACGGCGGUCACCUGGUGUCUCGCAGGGCAGCCUGCACCAUCCAAACUGCUUUCCGGCAGUACCAGCUCAGCAAGAACUUUGAGAAGAUCCGCAACUCGCUGCUAGAGAGCCGCAUGCCACGCCGCAUCUCCCUGAGGAAAGUCCGGGUCCAGAACUCGGAGAGCUUCUCUGCUGAGAAAGCCCUGGUGGAGGGGUACAACUUUGUGGGCAUCCCAUUGGUGAGGUCUCCAUCUUUGCCAGCCACCAUCAGUGGGGCACUGACCGAGCUGGAGGACUCCUUCACAGAACAAGUUCAGUCCCUGGCCAAGUCUAUUGAUGAUGCCCUCAGCACUUGGAGCCUGAAGACCAUGUGUUCACUGCAAGACGGGGGCUCAUACCAGAUAAGGGAGACCUUCAGUGCUAGCUCCAUGCAGCCAAACCAAGAUUUAGAAGCUGAGCUGCAGGAUAAGGAGAAAGAGGAAGGGCUCCUGCCAGACACUCUACCCAAGAGCAGCAGCACUCUCAUGAUGGCUUUUAGGGAUGUCACAGUCCAGAUCGACAACAAGAACAUCUCUGUCUCAUCGUCUACCUCGGUGUCCAUGGCAAACUGCCUCAGCAACAAUGCCCAAGCUGGCCUCUCUCAAGCUACCAAGGCUGAAGAAAGCCCAGGAGAAGGGGAAGGAGAAGCCAGUGAACCACCGGCUGCCCCAGAGAGCUCACCUGAGUCCACAGCUCUCCAGAACAGCCACACUUUCACCGAGGUGAAUGUCAGUGCUAAUGGUACGGGAGACAGCAGUGCUGAGCCUGGGCAGAUGGCAGUGCAGAAGCUCCAGCUUGAUGCUAGCAAUGAGACAGGGCAAAACAAAGGCUCUGAGUCUGAGAAUGCAGACAAUUCAGAGCAGCUGAGCAGCAGCAGCACCUCCACUUCAGCCAAGUCAGCCUCGGAGGUGUCCUCCAAAGAAGCACUGCAGGCCAUGAUCCUCAGCCUCCCGAGGUACCACUGCGAGAACCCAGCUAGCUGCAAGUCCCCCACACUUUCCACUGACACCAUGAGGAAGCGCCUCUACCGCAUUGGGCUCAACCUCUUUAAUAUAAACCCAGACAAAGGGAUCCAGUUCCUGAUCUCCCGCGGCUUCAUCCCAGAUACACCCAUUGGGGUGGCACACUUCCUGCUCCAGCGGAAGGGCCUCAGUCGCCAGAUGAUUGGGGAGUUCCUGGGCAACAGCAAGAAGCAGUUCAACAGGGAUGUGCUAGACUGCGUGGUGGACGAGAUGGACUUCUCAGGCAUGGAGCUGGAUGAAGCCCUGCGGAAAUUCCAGGCACAUAUCCGUGUUCAGGGGGAGGCGCAGAAGGUGGAGCGGCUCAUUGAGGCUUUCAGCCAGAGGUACUGCAUGUGUAACCCAGAUGUGGUCCAGCAGUUUCACAACCCGGACACCAUCUUCAUAUUGGCCUUUGCAAUCAUCCUCCUCAAUACGGACAUGUACAGCCCCAACAUCAAGCCUGACAGGAAGAUGAUGCUGGAGGACUUCAUUCGCAAUCUUAGAGGGGUGGACGAUGGUGCUGACAUUCCACGGGAGCUGGUCGUGGGGAUCUAUGAGAGGAUCCAGCAGAAAGAGCUAAAAUCCAAUGAGGACCAUGUGACUUAUGUCACCAAAGUGGAGAAGUCCAUAGUUGGAAUGAAAACGGUGCUGUCUGUGCCCCAUCGACGCCUGGUCUGCUGCAGCCGCUUAUACGAAGUGACUGAUGUGAACAAAGUGCAGAAGCAGGCAGCUCACCAGAGGGAAGUUUUUCUCUUCAAUGACCUGCUGGUGAUCCUCAAGCUGUGCCCCAAGAAGAAAAGCUCCUCAACGUACACAUUUUGCAAGUCGGUUGGCCUGCUAGGGAUGCAGUUCCAUCUCUUUGAGAAUGAAUAUUACCCCCAUGGCAUCACACUGGUGACUCCAGUUUCAGGCUCAGAGAAGAAACAGGUACUACACUUCUGUGCUCUGGGUGCUGAGGAAAUGCAGAAGUUUGUGGAAGACCUCAAAGAGUCGAUAGCAGAAGUGACAGAGCUGGAGCAGAUACGAAUUGAAUGGGAGCUGGAGAAACAGCAAGGGGCAAAGACUCUCUCAUUAAGGACCAAUGGAGCCCAGAUGGAAUUGCAGUCUAAGCAAGGCUCACCAACAGGCAAGAAGGAUUUGGGAGAGAAGGUCUCGGACAGCACAGUGGAGGUGUCAAUUCACAACAGGCUUCAAACGUACCAGCACAACUCCGCCCUGGGGCCCGAGAGUGGAAUGCAGCCCAGCACGCAUCUUAACAUGCCACAGGAGCGGCUGGAGACAGCACUGGUGCCCUCGCACCCCGCCUCGGCGGGGACGCUUGUACAGUGCCAGCAGAUUGUCAAAGUCAUUGUCCUGGACAAGCCGUGCCUCGCUCGGAUGGAGCCGGCCCUCAACCAGACUCUGACACGCUACGUCACCUCUGAUUCCUGCACCUCCACCCCCUGGCGCAGUGUGGGCAGUGGGCUCCCGGGGACCCCCAUGAAGCUGGUCCAUCAGCCUCCCCUCCCACCUCCACCACCUCCCUACAACCACCCUCACCAGUAUUGCCCCCCAGGCUCCCUGCUUCAGAGGCGCAGGUACUCCAGUGGCUCACGCAGCCUCGUGUAGCCACACCACCAGCACCAGAACAGCACAGACUUCCCUGCUUCCCUUCCCCACUGCCCCCUGGGGACCCUUUCUGCCUACAGAGAUCUAGUUUGUGAUUUAUUUUUUAGUAAAAGAAGAAGAAAAGAAGAAAAAAAAAGUCAAAAAAACAGCCGACUGACCUAACUCUUGCCCUGCCUCCCCUCAAGGUGAUGCUAAUUGUGAGGAGCCAUCUGUAGAAACUGCCAACCUACAUGCUCACACAUCCUCACACCCUGCCAGCCCCGCUGGCCUCCUGUGCUCGUGCCAUUCCCUUGUAGCACUUUGCUGCCCUGUUCCUGAGAGGCUUGAUAACCUGCUGCCUUCUAAGCACUGUGUCUUCCGUUUGCUACUCCUCGACCUCCCCCCGCCUUGCAUUAACCCGGCCGUAGGUUUGUACCCACCCCAAAACUUUGCCAGCCUGGGAGAGAAAUGGACCCACCUGUGCCAAGGACCAGCCUUGGGGCACUCCUGGGGAUGGAGUCCCCCCUGCCACCACUGCUGCCACCUGCUAAGCUGGAGCUGAGAACUUGUACCACUUGCUACGCUUUCUUCUCAUCGCUCUUCAAAUACUCGAUCCUCGCAGCAGCCGGUUCCAAGCAAAGGAGUGCACGAGUGGAAGAAAGCUCAAGAGGAGGAGAGACUGUCCUGAGCUGCAGUGCGACACGAAGAUGGCCUCACUCUGAACACCAAAACUCUUUCUGUUGUUAUAUUGGAGCAUUGUACCAGAGACCUCUGCUGAGACCUAGCAGACCUCAUCACAUAUGAGAGGUGUGGAUAUGGUCCACAACCAGAAUUUCAUCAAUACUCGAACUUCUUCGCCAAAGGGUACCAGCAGAUUUGGAAAUGUUUGAGGGCUGCUGAGCUGCAAGUUUGAAUUCUGUUAUGUGUUUCUUAGAAGGCUCAACCUGCAACAAUCUGCACAUGUUUGUGAGGUUUCCAAAACAAAUCUGAGCCCUAGAUCAAGGAAGCUGCUGCUUGGCAGAGUCUCUGCUUUGAAAUGCAAGUUGCUGAGCAAGCUCCCCCAUCUCCCACUCCACCAGCUGCCUCACUGUGCUAGUGUAGGCUCCAGGGACUGCCGACAGUGUUUUGUGAGCUAGAGCUGUCCUCGUCCUGCUUGCUUUGGCACAGCUAUGCCUGGGACAGCAGCUUUGAAGUCACCCACUCUUCAACCCUAGUCACAACCCCAUCUGAAUGUGUCUUUUUAACAACUAACAGCAGAAGUGUUACCUGUGUGUAGGCUUUUGAAAGCACCUGUCUGUCUGUACCUGUUUCCUGCUGUAAAUAUCACCGAGAAAAGGUUCCUUUGGGAAAAGUGGUGUGGUCACACCUAGCAAAGAGUCCAAAUGGCUAAUAUUUUGUAACAAAAUUAACAAAAAUAGAUCAGAGGUAUUUUAUCUGUUCAAUUAAUAGAAUUUUAGAAAUUAUAUUGAGAUAUGUCACUUGUGCUCUAAUGUCUUCUUUGCCUCAGCUCCCCGUCCCGUGUCCCUGGCCUCCAGUGGCGUGCACAGGCAGACUUUCAGUACUCAAAAGGGGCCUAUGAGAAGGAUGGGGACAGACUUCAUAGCAGGCCCUGCUGCAAUAGGAAAAGGGGUGAUGGUUUUAAACUAAAAGAGUGGAGAUUCAGGCUGGAUGAGGAAAUUCUUUACAAUGAGGGUGAUAAAAUACUGGCACAGGUUGCCCAGAGAGGUGGUGGGUGCCCCAUCACUGGAGACAUUCAAGGCCAGGCUGGAUGUGGUUCUGAGCAACCUGGUCUAGUUGAAGCUGGCCCUGCUCAUUGCAGGGGGUUGGACUAGAUGACCUUUGAAGGUCCUUUCCAACCCAAACCAUUUUAUGAUUCUAUGACAUGACACACCAAGGGUGCACUCCCAAGGAGUGCAAAGCAUCGUGGCUCCCUGCUGGCCCCAGGGGCAGCCUGCUGCAGCUGCUGCUGGUAUUUCAUGGAACACAGCAGAAGCUAGUUCAGUGCUCAGGCUCUCUGAGGAUCAGAUCCAGAGGAAAACAGAAAGAAAUAAUCUUGUCCAAGGUACAGCAACUCAAAGUAAAAUUCACCCCUGCAGUGAGGCAGAGAGGAAAACAGUGAGGGGGGGGAAGGCAAGGCUGUUCUGCGCUGCAGCAACUUUCUUUCCAUCUUGCUGGCACACUGCAGAUCCAGCUCCAGACCCUCUGUGUAGCUCUGCACCGCUGGGGAAGGCAGCUUGCACACCCAUGCUGCUGCAGCAAGGAGAGCAGCUUCACAAGCCGCGUGUGCCAAUGCGUAUGCUGGGCGCCAGCUGGCCACAGAGAAACUCAUGCACCCAGAGACAUCAGCACAUACUGCAUGUUAACGCACACACCAUCUGCCAACAUGUAGUUCUAUAUGGAUGAUAACGUGUAGGCACCUGUAUAUUGACACAGCUGAAUGUGCUGUACGAAAGUAUUGGGCGUAUGCAGCCGUGCACUGCAUGAACAGGACAGCUGUGCUGGCUGCAGCUACCAUCGCAGCACAUCUCACAGGAUACGUAGGCUCAGGCUGGGUUAACAUUUGGAUGGGAGGCACGUAAGGAAAAUGACAUUUCCCAUGCAAAUCAGAUACACAUGCAUAUUUACCCAAAGCAUAACCCCAAGGUUAAUGAAACUGACCUUUGUGAAGUUCUGCACAGGGAUGAGAGAGCUGAUCAGAGUUGAACAUGUGCACACAAAGCGAGCUCUCCUUUGCAAUGGAUGGGGGAAGGCAACCUACUUUACAGCUGAGUCGAAUAGAUGCUGGGUUCAGAUUGCACCUGCUAAAAAAACCCUGUCUACAGCUUGCAAAUUCUUUGCUGGCUUCGAAGAAUCCCUUAGAUCCCCAGGCCCACGGUGAAACACUUCGUAGGACAGAAAUCCCUCUGAGACACAGACAGGCAAUUUCCCAAGGAUUCAGAGGUUCCUGUUUAUGUUUUUGUGUGCCACGGAUUUAUAAUAAAUGAGCCCAAUCCCAAACAGUCAUUUUCUAAGAUGUUUUGAAACAGGAUAUUAUUGGAGACGUUUCUGCCUGAUGUUUAGAUCACACACCUGGCUGUAAAGAUGAAAGCAAUAAAACCAGAUUGUCUAUAUGUGAAA